GUAUUGGUGGUUCAGUGGCAGAAUUCUCACCUUCCGUGCAAGAGACACAAGUUCAACUCCUGGUCAAUGCA
rnacentral:tRNA from 1 species